rnacentral:rRNA from 1 species
GACAGAGGGGGCAAGCGUUGCUCGGAAUCACUGGGCGUAAAGCGCGCGUAGGCGGGUUGGUAAGUCCGCUGUGAAAGCCCGGAGCUUAACUCCGGGGGGUCGGUGGAUACUGCCAGUCUUGAAGGUGCUAGGGGGAGAUGGAAUUACCGGUGUAGCGGUGAGAUGCGUAGAGAUCGGUAGGAACACCAAUGGCGAAGGCAGCUUGCUGGCAUGUUUCUGACGCUAAGGCACGAAAGCGUGGGGAGCGAACAGG